CUCCAGUUGUCCAGUCCAAAAUAGGACGAAAUGCGCAUCCUGGAU
rnacentral:hammerhead_ribozyme from 1 species